GAAAAGUUUUAUUCUAGCUUAGAAAUUAGGUAAAAGUUUAUUUUACAUGUAAAUUUUAGUGUGAAUUUUUUAAAAUUUUAGAAAAAUUUUAAAUUGAAAUUUGUUCGCAGUGGAGAAAUUUAAAUAUCAGUGAAAGCUGGAUUUAGGAAUAAUUUUUAAUAUUAACAUAACUUGUGCCAGCAGUUGCGGUUAUACAGGUAAUAUAACUUAAUUUUUUUGGAUACAGUUAGCUUUAUAAGAAUUUCAUUUUAGUAAAUGGUUUAUUAGGUGAAAUUUUAAAUUUUUGUAAUAAAUGGAUUUUUGAUAGUAAAGCUGGGAAAUUUUUAUAAAAACUAGGAUUAGAUACCCUAUUAUUUUGAAUGUAAAUUAAAAUUCUAAAUUAGUAUUAGUUAUGUUCUUGAAAAUUAAAGAUUUUGGCGGUAUUUUAGUCUGUUCAGAGGAACCUGUCCUGUAAUCGAUAAUCCACGAUAAAUCGAACCUUUUCUUUUAGCUUACAUAUCGUCGUAGUUUGAAUAUUUUAAAAGAAUCUAAAUGUUCAUGAUUCAUUUGUUUGAAUAAAAUCAGAUCAAGGUGUAGUUUAUGGAAUGGUAGAGAUGGGUUACAUUAAAUUUAUUUAUAGUGAUUGCUUCUUGAAAGGAGGUAUGAAUAAGGAUUUGAUAGUAAUUUUAAUUAUUUAUUAAGAUGAUUUUAGCUCUAAAAUAUGCACAUAUCGCCCGUCGCUUUCACUUUAAAGUGGAAUAAGUCGUAACAAAGUAGGCUUACUGGAAGGUGUGCCUGGAAAGGC
rnacentral:ncRNA from 1 species